rnacentral:rRNA from 1 species
GAUGAACGCUGGCGGCGUGCCUAAUACAUGCAAGUCGAGCGAACAGACGAGGAGCUUGCUCCUCUGACGUUAGCGGCGGACGGGUGAGUAACACGUGGAUAACCUACCUAUAAGACUGGGAUAACUUCGGGAAACCGGAGCUAAUACCGGAUAAUAUAUUGAACCGCAUGGUUCAAUAGUGAAAGACGGUUUUGCUGUCACUUAUAGAUGGAUCCGCGCCGCAUUAGCUAGUUGGUAAGGUAACGGCUUACCAAGGCAACGAUGCGUAGCCGACCUGAGAGGGUGAUAGGCAACAAUAGAACUGAGAAAAGGACAAGAGUACGACGGGAGGCAGCAGGAGGGAAUAUUCAGCAAUGAGCGAAAGACGGAAGGAGCAACGAAGAGAGAGUAAUAAAGGUCUACGGAUCGUAAAACUAUGUUAUUAGAGAAGAACAAAAGUGUAAGUAAAAAUGCACGUCAUGACGGUACAUAAUCAGAAAGCCACGGAUAACUACGUG